rnacentral:rRNA from 1 species
GACAUAGGUGGCAACCGUUAUCCGGAAUUAUUGGGCGUAAAGUGUGCGUAGGUGGUUUAAUAAGUUACUGGUGGCAAAUCGGGGCUCAACCCCGUGGAAGUCGGUGAUACUAUUAGACUAGAGGAUCGGAGAGGUUAACGGAAUUCUAUGUGUAGCGGUAAAAUGCUCAAAUAUAUAGAGGAACAUCAAACGGCGAAGGCAGUUAACUAUUCGGUACCUGACGUUGAGGCACGAAAGCGUGGGGAGCAAGACGG